rnacentral:rRNA from 2 species
GAUGUUCUAACGUGGACCCGUAAUCCGGGUUGCGGACAGUGUCUGGUGGGUAGUUUGACUGGGGCGGUCUCCUCCUAAAGAGUAACGGAGGAGCACGAAGGUUGGCUAAUCCUGGUCGGACAUCAGGAGGUUAGUGCAAUGGCAUAAGCCAGCUUGACUGCGAGCGUGACGGCGCGAGCAGGUGCGAAAGCAGGUCAUAGUGAUCCGGUGGUUCUGAAUGGAAGGGCCAUCGCUCAACGGAUAAAAGGUACUCCGGGGAUAACAGGCUGAUACCGCCCAAGAGUUCAUAUCGACGGCGGUGUUUGGCACCUCGAUGUCGGCUCAUCACAUCCUGGGGCUGAAGUAGGUCCCAAGGGUAUGGCUGUUCGCCAUUUAAAGUGGUACGCGAGCUGGGUUUAGAACGUCGUGAGACAGUUCGGUCCCUAUCUGCCGUGGGCGCUGGAGAACUGAGGGGGGCUGCUCCUAGUACGAGAGGACCGGAGUGGACGCAUCACUGGUGUUCGGGUUGUCAUGCCAAUGGCACUGCCCGGUAGCUAAAUGCGGAAGAGAUAAGUGCUGAAAGCAUCUAAGCACGAAACUUGCCCCGAG